AGACCAUGUCUGAAUAGAUACCUGAGAGUUAGACCCAUGUGCUGGGUCUGGGUGAGGCUGUGUGUAGAUCACAGCAGCGUGAGCACUGGCUGUACCUUUGCCCUGUCCUGCUGCUCUUCCUGUCUGCUGUGUCAGGACACUGAGCAGAAGUGGCGGUGGAAUGCACACAGCACAGCGUGUCACAGUGCGCAUGGGCUCCCCACUGGAAGGGAUGUAGCAUUGUUUUUCUUUCGUAAUGGAGAGAAGAGGGGAAGAAAAGGCCCAGGCACUGGUUCUCCAACUCUUGUACAUCCGGUCACUGUCCUGAGAUUCAGAAGGUCUGGGAUGUUCUGAGAAUUUGCAUUUCUGACAAGUUUGCAGAGAGUAAUGCUGAUGCUGCUGGUUCAGGGACCCACUCGGAGAGUCAGUGGCCUGGAGCACUGGAGGGCUCCGUGGAGCUGGGAGGGUGGAGGGAUGACGGCCUCGGGGUGGCACAAGGAGGUGCCGGGUGAAGAGGAGGUGCCAGAGGCAGGAUGGAGCAGCUCACAGUGGUACCUGGGAUGGCCCCGUGGCUUCUGCCAAGCCAAAUUCUCCUGUUUCAUAAGAAUUGCUCACUGCAUUUGUUUGUAGAAGUCAACAUUAAUUAAUCUUCUCAACUGAAAUGAAAAUACUUUAUGGGAAUACACUGAGAACCCCCCGCCCCCGCCUGCCAGCACAUCAGAUGGAUUGAAGCAUUUGAAGGCAGAAUAUAGUUCACAGAAAAAGCAAACCUAAUUAUAACCUAAAGAUCAUACAUCAGGUGAGUUAUGUUCAUUUCAAAACAGAGACAUUAA
rnacentral:lncRNA from 1 species